CACCAAGCAGGGCAAAGAGGGCUGGGCACAGAGCUGCAGCACUGCUGUGAAAACACCUGAGGACACUCUGGUUCCUGAUCUUUUAAAAAGUUUGCUGACCCCUGAGCUUCAGGAUGGGGGAAGUUUUAGAGAUUUUAGGAGAAAGAAAAAGGUACAACAAAAAAGGAUAUUCAUAAACCAACGGAGGCAUUCACACAACACAACAGAUGUCUGAGAGAUCCACGCAGCCAUAUGUGUGAAGGUGGGGGACCCCUCCCCAGGAGGCAAAGGAAGAAGGUAAGCAGAUCUCCUCUCCCCAGGGACAGCAAUUUAGGGCACAGGACCUAGCAUGGGAGCCAACGAACAACUCUGAAAGGAGAAGGGGGACAAAGCAGCCCUCCCUGGGAAGAAUUUUGCUCUUGGAGUUGCCUCACAGCCUGUGGGAAUGCUCCAUACUCAGGUGGCUAAGCAACCAUGGGGGCACCCUCACCAAGCCAAGAAGCCCAGGCAGGCAGCCAGUGCGUGCAGAGCAGGAGAACGAGUGGUAAAGAAGGUGCAUGCCCCUCCAUUCCACCUGGCACAACAGCUCAGCCAGUCAGCCAGGGCAGGGGAGCCCUGCCAAAGCACCUGCACCUAUAUGUGUAAAGGAACAGUGGCCAGACAAAGAGAGCAAAAGUGGCACAGCUUCCAAUGGAUGGGCACAAUGGCCAAAGCUCAUGGGGGGCUCAGAAAACACAGCUCCUGCCCCCACCUCCACAGUGGUAGCAGGUGGAAGCUGCAACCAGACACUACAACUAUGCCACAGCAAAAG
rnacentral:lncRNA from 1 species